ensembl:lncRNA
GGCGAAUAUAAAUAACCAGGGAGGAAGGAGAACUAGCUGAACAGAAAAGGCAUUCAUUCAAGAUUAAAUAUCUAGGCCUGGAUGAAUGAACGGAUAUGUAUUGGAUGGAUGGAUGUACAGGCCUAUUGUCACUAAAAUGAUAUGUAGCCCAGCUGGAAAACUAGGUUCACCACUAAGGCCACCAGAGGGCGCUGUACUACUGAGACAGCUAGCGAAAUGUGACGAGGGAAACAGGAAGUGAAGUUCGUUCUUUUGCAUGUGACUGUCCUGUGGAGCGGUGGAUGUUUUGUGAGUUAAUACAUAUUGAAUGCCAUCUCUGUACAAAACUAUCUAAAAUGUACGUAAAAACAGUGUAUGGAUCAUUCAGAAAAUUUAUUGUUUGAUGCUAAAUCCACCAGGUUGUUUUGGUUCGUCUGAUGUUUUCAGAUGUUGUUCAUGUGUUAAGCGUUCAUGUGAGCGCUACGAUGCUAAUGACGCUCCUAACUUUUCAACAUGCUAUGCAUUCUGUUAUUAUUUUAAGAGUUUGAUUUCAGAAGUAACGGUGUGGUACUGUUUGUUUUCUUUCUUUUAUUAUAUUGGAGGGUUACCACUGCAGUUAUUUGUGUGCAGAAAAUAUUCCUUAAGUUUAAUUGUGAAAUGUUAAAAAAGGACAAUCGAAAUCAGAAAUUCAUUUGUACUCAUAGAAUUGAACACCUCCAAAUUCUUUUAACACUGCUCUCUAACAAAAGAGUAGUCGAGAAAUAAAGACCCCUAAAUAUAGUGUUCCGGUGUCACUCAAUUUCACCCGCCUACAGAUAUAUUAUAAUUGCAAUUUUACAUGUUUUAUGCAAACUGUGUAACAUUGUGUAGUUUGAAAUGGCCAAAUCAUCUCUGAUGUACAGAAAGAAACCAUCCGUACACAUUGUGAAAUGAACGAAUGCAGGACCAGCCCGAAAGAUCUCUGAGGUUUCCACUAAGUGGCAGAUAAAAAUGAAUGCAUGCAUAUGGCUCCUGCUCUUAAAAGGGGACAUGUGUCUACAGGCAUCCGAAUACCAUACAUAGGUCCGUGUAAUUGAGAUUGCUUGCUGCUGACCACCCAUGCUGUCUAUCCGGCUUGGUCCCUCGGGUAAAAUAGUGAUUGUGGAUUCAGCUAGAUACAGUAAUUCAAAUAGAUAGCUGCAUAUUAGAAAAUAGCCUAUGCAAACAUGUUAUGUAUACAAUAAUGUGUUUCCCGGCACAAACAAAUGACUGUGGAUCCUACAAUGACACAAUCGUUCCACUGGAUCACUGCAAAGAAAGGUGCAGCAUAGAAACAUCAACUCAAAUGUACGAAUGCAGAUAAAAAAUGAACAAUGGUGAAUUGUAUAACUCCAUUAGAUAGCUGCACAGUGAUACACAGAUAUAUUUUGACUUCAUAAAAAUUAACAUGUUCACUCUGAGAACUUGUAAACAUGGCAACCAGGGGAAUUCAUUGCUGGCAAUGUGCAAUAAUCUACAAACAUGUCAUAAAUAAUGCCAUUCCCAGCACAGUAUACUAAAUGCAAAGUGACGCAUUGCAUUCAGGGCACAUAGUGGUGGAGCUGAUUCAUGUCCUGUACAGACUGUCUUAACAUCCCUUACUUUCUCUUUUGGCCACUCUACUCUUCCUCCUCUCCGAUUGUAAGAUACCUCUCUUUUCUACUCCAUUUUAUCCUUCCCUAUCUCUUUCUCUCUCUCUCUCCCUUCUCUAUUUCACCUCAAUGACAGAUCCCCUACCUGCCGGAGAUAAUAAGAUACUCCCACUGGCCCGCAAGACUACUUUCCCCAGUAUCCAUCACUCCCCGAGUCACAUUACUGCCCUUUACAAGCACCAGGAUGUUUUUCUCCUUAAUUGUGGCCGUAUACAUACCUCACCCCCCCCAGUGAUAAUAAAUGAUCUUGUCCUCCAUUAAGCCCAUUAGGGAGCUCACACUGAGAGGAGCAUACCGCCCAUAGUGAUCAGGGCUUGUUUGGAGUCGGGCGUCGUGGCUGAGAAUGACCCCGUGCUCUGCAAACACACGUUAGGGCAUCCGGUAUCUUGACUGCAGGACUCUUAUUCUAUCUCUAGUAGUUCUUUUAUUGCUUUGAUUAUUCUACUUUGGGACCAAUCAAAUCACAAGGAAAUAGAAACAGAAGGUCGGAUAGAAGAAGAGCAAAGAUUAAGUCUCCAGGGAUUGACGAACAUUAUAUGUCUGCAGCCAGAUGUCUUACAAUGACUUACAGUGCCCACUCUGUCCAGGAGAUGGCACUAUGUUCCCAUCGUAUUAGAAAAAGCCACACCACUGUCUUAUAAAGAAUGAUGCUAC